UGGCGAACGGGUGAGUAAUAUAUCGGAACGUGCCCUGGAGUGGGGGAUAACGCAGCGAAAGUUGCGCUAAUACCGCAUACGAUCUAAGGAUGAAAGCAGGGGACCGCAAGGCCUUGUGCCCCUGGAGCGGCCGAUAUCUGAUUAGCUAGUUGGUGGGGUAAAGGCCUACCAAGGCAUCGAUCAGUAGCUGGUCUGAGAGGACGACCAGCCACACUGGAACUGAGACACGGUCCAGACUCCUACGGGAGGCAGCAGUGGGGAAUUUUGGACAAUGGGCGCAAGCCUGAUCCAGCAAUGCCGCGUGAGUGAAGAAGGCCUUCGGGUUGUAAAGCUCUUUUGUCAGGGAAGAAACGGCAUGCUCUAAUACAGUGUGCUAAUGACGGUACCUGAAGAAUAAGCACCGGCUAACUACGUGCCAGCAGCCGCGGUAAUACGUAGGGUGCAAGCGUUAAUCGGAAUUACUGGGCGUAAAGCGUGCGCAGGCGGUUUUGUAAGUUUGUCGUGAAAUCCCCGGGCUCAACCUGGGAAUGGCGA
rnacentral:rRNA from 1 species